rnacentral:rRNA from 1 species
UACGAAGGGGGCUAGCGUUGUUCGGAAUUACUGGGCGUAAAGCGCACGUAGGCGGUUACUUAAGUCAGGGGUGAAAUCCCGGGGCUCAACCCCGGAACUGCCUUUGAUACUGGGUAUCUCGAGUCCGGAAGAGGUGAGUGGAAUUCCGAGUGUAGCGGUGGAAUGCGUAGAGAUCCGGAAGAACACCGGAGGCGAAGGCGGCUUGCUGGGCUCGGUCUGACGCUGAGGCGCGAAAGCGUGGGGAGCGAACAGG